CCCGGUGUUGGCUCUGGUGGCAAAGAAGUCAGAGUCGUCCUGCCCCCUCCAUUUCCAUGGGGAUACUGGGGCUGGUAGAGGGAAGGUGGCUUGCCCUAACCUAGUGCUUCUCACAUUGCAACGUGCACGUGAAUCUCCUGGGAUUCUAUUAAAAUGCAGAUGGGUUCCGAAGGUCUGGGAUUCUGCUUUUCUA